AGAGUUUGAUCCUGGCUUAGAACGAACGCUGGCGGCAGGCUUAACACAUGCAAGUUGAGCGGGAUUGUUGAGUAGCUUGCUAUUUAACAUGAGAGCAGCGCACUGGUGAGUAACACGUGGGAACAUACCUUUUUGGUGGGGGACAACAGUUGGAAACGACUGCUAAUACCGCAUAAGCCCUAAGGGGGAAAGAUUUAUUGCCGAAAGAUUGGCCCGCGGAAGAUUAGGUAGUAGGUGGGGUAACGGCCUACCUAGCCGACGAUCUAUAGCUGGUCUGAGAGGACGAUCAGCCACAUUGGAACUGAGACACGGUCCAGACUCCUACGGGAGGCAGCAGUGAGGAAUAUUGGGCAAUGGAGGGAACUCUGACCCAGCCAAUGCCGCGUGAGUGAAGAAGGUUUUCGGAUUGUAAAACUCUUUCAGAUGGGAAGAUGAUGACGGUACCAUCAGAAGAAGCACCGGCUAACUUCGUGCCAGCAGCGGC
rnacentral:rRNA from 1 species